rnacentral:rRNA from 1 species
AGUCGAACGAUGAAGCUGGAGCUUGCUCCAGUGGAUUAGUGGCGAACGGGUGAGUAACACGUGAGAAAUCUGCCCUUGACUCUGGGAUAACUGCGGGAAACUGUAGCUAAUACCGGAUACUUUCCUCGGUGGGCAUCCACUGAGGAAGAAAGAAUUUCGGUCAAGGAUGAUCUCGCGGCCUAUCAGCUAGUUGGUGAGGUAACGGCUCACCAAGGCGACGACGGGUAGCCGGCCUGAGAGGGUGACCGGCCACACUGGGACUGAGACACGGCCCAGACUCCUACGGGAGGCAGCAGUGGGGAAUAUUGCACAAUGGGCGCAAGCCUGAUGCAGCAACGCCGCGUGAGGGAUGAAGGCCUUCGGGUUGUAAACCUCUUUUAGCAGGGAAGAAGCGAAAGUGACGGUACCUGCAGAAAAAGCACCGGCUAACUACGUGCCAGCAGCCGCGGUAAUACGUAGGGUGCAAGCGUUGUCCGGAAUUAUUGGGCGUAAAGAGCUCGUAGGCGGUUUGUCACGUCUGCUGUGAAAAUCCAAGGCUCAACCUUGGACUUGCAGUGGGUACGGGCAGGCUAGAGUGCGGUAGGGGAGAUGGGAAUUCCUGGUGUAGCGGUGGAAUGCGCAGAUAUCA